CCCUGGUAGUCCACGCUGUAAACGAUGUCGAUUUUGGAGGUUGUGCCCAUGAGGCGUGGCUUCCGGAGCUAACGCGUUAAAUCGACCGCCUGGGGAGUACGGCCGCAAGGUUAAAACUCAAAUGAAUUGACGGGGGCCCGCACAAGCGGUGGAGCAUGUGGUUUAAUUCGAUGCAACGCGAAGAACCUUACCUACUCUUGACAUCCAGAGAACUUUCCAGAGAUGGAUUGGUGCCUUCGGGAACUCUGAGACAGGUGCUGCAUGGCUGUCGUCAGCUCGUGUUGUGAAAUGUUGGGUUAAGUCCCGCAACGAGCGCAACCCUUAUCCUUUGUUGCCAGCGGUUCGGCCGGGAACUCAAAGGAGACUGCCAGUGAUAAACUGGAGGAAGGUGGGGAUGACGUCAAGUCAUCAUGGCCCUUACGAGUAGGGCUACACACGUGCUACAAUGGCGUAUACAAAGAGAAGCGACCUCGCGAGAGCAAGCGGACCUCAUAAAGUACGUCGUAGUCCGGAUUGGAGUCUGCAACUCGACUCCAUGAAGUCGGAAUCGCUAGUAAUCGUAGAUCAGAAUGCUACGGUGAAUACGUUCCCGGGCCUUGUACACACCGCCCGUCACACCAUGGGAGUGGGUUGCAAAAGAAGUAGGUAGCUUAACCUUCGGGAGGG
rnacentral:rRNA from 2 species